rnacentral:rRNA from 1 species
GACGGAGGAUGCAAGCGUUAUCCGGAAUGAUUGGGCGUAAAGCGUCCGCAGGUGGCAGUUCAAGUCUGCUGUCAAAGACCGGGGCUUAACUUCGGAAAGGCAGUGGAAACUGAACAGCUAGAGUAUGGUAGGGGCAGAGGGAAUUCCUGGUGUAGCGGUGAAAUGCGUAGAGAUCAGGAAGAACAUCGGUGGCGAAGGCGCUCUGCUGGACCAUAACUGACACUCAGGGACGAAGGCUAGGGGAGCGAAUGGG